rnacentral:rRNA from 1 species
GAUGAACGCUGGCGGCGUGCUUAACACAUGCAAGUCGAACGAAACACCUUAUUUGAUUUUCUUCGGAACUGAAGAUUUGGUGAUUGAGUGGCGGACGGGUGAGUAACGCGUGGGUAACCUGCCCUGUACAGGGGGAUAACAGUCAGAAAUGACUGCUAAUACCGCAUAAGACCACAGCACCGCAUGGUGCAGGGGUAAAAACUCCGGUGGUACAGGAUGUACCCGCGUCUGAUUAGCUGGUUGGUGAGGUAACGGCUCACCAAGGCGACGAUCAGUAGCCGGCUUGAGAGAGUGAACGGCCACAUUGGGACUGAGAUACGGCCCAAACUCCUACGGGAGGCAGCAGUGGGGAAUAUUGCACAAUGGGGGAAACCCUGAUGCAGCGACGCCGCGUGAGUGAAGAAGUAUUUCGGUAUGUAAAGCUCCAUCAGCAGGGAAGAAAAUGACGGUACCUGACUAAGAAGCCCCGGCUAACUACGUG